UAAGACGGAGGGCGCUAGCGUUGUUCGGAAUCACUGGGCGUAAAGGGCGCGCAGGCGGCCUGGUCAGUCGGGCGUGAAAGCCCGGGGCUCAACCCCGGAACGGCGCCCGAGACGGCCCGGCUGGAGACCGGGAGAGGGGGGUGGAAUAGCCAGUGUAGAGGUGAAAUUCGUAGAUAUUGGCUGGAACACCGGUGGCGAAAGCGGCUCCCUGGCCCGGUUCUGACGCUGAGGCGCGAAAGCGUGGGGAGCAAACAGGAUUAGAUACCCUGGUAGUCCACGCCCUAAACGAUGUGCGCUGGGCGUCGGGGGGCUCGCCCCUCGGUGCCGGAGCCAACGCGGUAAGCGCACCGCCUGGGGAGUACGGCCGCAAGGUUA
rnacentral:rRNA from 1 species